UACGGGGGGGGCAAGCGUUGUUCGGAAUUACUGGGCGUAAAGGGCUCGUAGGCGGCCAACUAAGUCAUACGUGAAAUCCCUCGGCUUAACCGGGGAACUGCGUCCGAUACUGGCAGGCUUGAAUCCGGGAGAGGGAUGCGGAAUUCCAGGUGUAGCGGUGAAAUGCGUAGAUAUCUGGAGGAACACCGGUGGCGAAGGCGGCAUCCUGGACCGGCAUUGACGCUGAGGCGCGAAAGCCAGGGGAGCAAACGGG
rnacentral:rRNA from 1 species